rnacentral:rRNA from 1 species
GACGAACGCUUGCGGCGUGCUUAACACAUGCAAGUCGAACGGAAAGGCCCUGCUUUUGUGGGGUGCUCGAGUGGCGAACGGGUGAGUAACACGUGAGUAACCUGCCCUUGACUUUGGGAUAACUUCAGGAAACUGGGGCUAAUACCGGAUAGGAGCUCCUGCUGCAUGGUGGGGGUUGGAAAGUUUCGGCGGUUGGGGAUGGACUCGCGGCUUAUCAGCUUGUUGGUGGGGUAGUGGCUUACCAAGGCUUUGACGGGUAGCCGGCCUGAGAGGGUGACCGGCCACAUUGGGACUGAGAUACGGCCCAGACUCCUACGGGAGGCAGCAGUGGGGAAUAUUGCACAAUGGGCGGAAGCCUGAUGCAGCAACGCCGCGUGCGGGAUGACGGCCUUCGGGUUGUAAACCGCUUUCGCCUGUGACGAAGCGUGAGUGACGGUAAUGGGUAAAGAAGUACCGGCUAACUACGUGCCAGCAGCCGCGGUGAUACGUAGGGUGCGAGCGUUGUCCGGAUUUAUUGGGCGUAAAGGGCUCGUAGGUGGUUGAUCGCGUCGGAAGUGUAAUCUUGGGGCUUAACCCUGAGCGUGCUUUCGAUACGGGUUGACUUGAGGAAGGUAGGGGAGAAUGGAAUUCCUGGUGGAGCGGUGGAAUGCGCAGAUAUCAGGAGGAACACCAGUGGCGAAGGCGGUUCUCUGGGCCUUUCCUGACGCUGAGGAGCGAAAGCGUGGGGAGCGAACAGGCUUAGAUACCCUGGUAGUCCACGCUGUAAACGGUGGGUACUAGGUGUGGGGUCCAUUCCACGGGUUCCGUGCCGUAGCUAACGCUUUAAGUACCCCGCCUGGGGAGUACGGCCGCAAGGCUAAAACUCAAAGGAAUUGACGGGGCCCCGCACAAGCGGCGGAGCAUGCGGAUUAAUUCGAUGCAACGCGUAGAACCUUACCUGGGUUUGACAUGGAUCGGGAGUGCUCAGAGAUGGGUGUGCCUCUUUUGGGGUCGGUUCACAGGUGGUGCAUGGCUGUCGUCAGCUCGUGUCGUGAGAUGUUGGGUUAAGUCCCGCAACGAGCGCAACCCUUGUUCACUGUUGCCAGCACGUUAUGGUGGGGACUCAGUGGAGACCGCCGGGGUCAACUCGGAGGAAGGUGGGGAUGACGUCAAGUCAUCAUGCCCCUUAUGUCCAGGGCUUCACGCAUGCUACAAUGGCUGGUACAGAGAGUGGCGAGCCUGUGAGGGUGAGCGAAUCUCGGAAAGUCGGUCUCAGUUCGGAUUGGGGUCUGCAACUCGACCUCAUGAAGUCGGAGUCGCUAGUAAUCGCAGAUCAGCAACGCUGCGGUGAAUACGUUCCCGGGGCU